UACGUAGGGGGCAAGCGUUGUCCGGAAUCAUUGGGCGUAAAGCGCGUGUAGGCGGCCAGGUAAGUCCGUUCUGAAAGCCCGGGGCUCAACCCCGGGAGGCGGAUGGAUACUGCUUGGCUCGAGUCCGGAAGAGGCGAGUGGAAUUCCCGGUGUAGUGGUGAAAUGCGCAGAUAUCGGGAGGAACACCAAUGGCGAAGGCAGCUCGCUGGGACGGUACUGACGCUGAGACGCGAAAGCGUGGGGAGCAACAGG
rnacentral:rRNA from 1 species